rnacentral:rRNA from 1 species
GACGAACGCUGGCGGCGUGCUUAACACAUGCAAGUCGAACGGAAAGGCCCCUUUGGGGGUCCUCGAGUGGCGCACGGGUGUGUAACACGUGAGUAACCUGCCCUUGACUUCGGGAUAACUUCAGGAAACUGGGGCUAAUACCGGAUAGGAAUCCUUGCUGCAUGGUGGGGGUUGGAAAGCUUCGGCGGUUUUGGAUGGACUCGCGGCUUAUCAGCUUGUUGGUGGGGUAGUGGCUUACCAAGGCUUUGACGGGUAGCCGGCCUGAGAGGGCGACCGGCCACAUUGGGACUGAGAUACGGCCCAGACUCCUACGGGAGGCAGAAGUGGGGAAGAUUGCACAAUGGGCGGAAGCCUGAUGCAGCAACGCCGCGUGCGGGAUGACGGCCUUCGGGUUGUAAACCGCUUUCAGCAGGGGCGAAGCUUGUGGUGACGGUACCUGCAGAAGAAGCACCGGCUAACUACGUG